rnacentral:rRNA from 1 species
UACGAAGGGGGCUAGCGUUGCUCGGAAUCACUGGGCGUAAAGGGUGCGUAGGCGGGUCUUUAAGUCAGGGGUGAAAUCCUGGAGCUCAACUCCAGAACUGCCUUUGAUACUGAGGAUCUUGAGUACUGGAGAGGUGAGCGGAAUUCCCGGUGUAGCGGUGAAAUGCGUAGAGAUCGGGAGGAACACCAGAGGCGAAGGCGGCUCACUGGACAGUUACUGACACUCAACUACGAAAGCGUGGGGAGCAAGCAGG